GACGAACGCUGGCGGCGUGCUUAACACAUGCAAGUCGAACGGAAAGGCCCUCGCUUGCGGCGGUGCUCGAGUGGCGAACGGGUGAGUAACACGUGGGUGAUCUGCCCCUGACUUUGGGAUAAGCCUGGGAAACUGGGUCUAAUACCGGAUAUGACCCCUUGCUGCAUGGCGGGGGGUGGAAAGUUUUUGCGGUUGGGGAUGGUCCCGCGGCCUAUCAGCUUGUUGGUGGGGUAAUGGCCUACCAAGGCGACGACGGGUAGCCGACCUGAGAGGGUGAUCGGCCACACUGGGACUGAGACACGGCCCAGACUCCUACGGGAGGCAGCAGUGGGGAUAUUGCACAAUGGGCGCAAGCCUGAUGCAGCGACGCCGCGUGAGGGAUGACGGCCUUCGGGUUGUAAACCUCUUUCACCAUCGACGAAGCCUUUCGGGGUGACGGUAGGUGGAGAAGAAGCACCGGCCAACUACGUGCCAGCAGCCGCAGUAA
rnacentral:rRNA from 1 species